CGAAGCCUCCGUAUGCAAGUUUAACUAUGAAAUUAGUCUUCUGGCAAUGAGUUGAAAUGGUGUGUCCUACUUGAGGCUCAGCCCAUGGUUGUAAGAUCUUAUGACCAUUUCAGCUGAGCAGGACAAAAAUCAGUAGUGAGGACAUUUGGUGAACUUGGUCGCUUAAGGAAAAAAAUAAAUUCAGGUGACAAACAGCAUGUUUGGUGCUUCAAGAAAGAAGUUUGUAGAGGGGGUCGACAGUGACUACCACGAUGAAAACAUGUACUACAGCCAGUCUUCAAUGUUCCCACAUCGGUCGGAAAAAGAUUUUGCAGAGAGGGAGGAAGUAAAAUGCAUCUCUGAAUCACAUUUUAAGAAAUUACAGAUGCUGGCAUCACCAUCAACAUCAGGUCAGCUGUCUCAAUUUGGGGCAAGUUUAUACGGGCAACAAAGUGCACUAGGCCUUCCAAUGAGGGGAAUGAGCAACAAUACCCCUCAGUUAAAUCGCAGCUUAUCACAAGGCACUCAGUUACCGAGCCACGUAACGCCAACAACAGGGGUACCAACAAUGUCACUUCAUACACCUCCAUCUCCGAGCAGGGGUAUAUUGCCUAUGAAUCCUAGGAAUAUGAUGAACCACUCCCAGGUUGGUCAGGGCAUUGGAAUUCCCAGCAGGACAAACAGCAUGAGCAGUUCAGGGUUAGGCAGCCCCAACAGAAGCUCGCCUAGCAUAAUAUGUAUGCCAAAGCAGCAACCCUCUCGACAACCUUUUACUGUGAACAGUAUGUCUGGAUUUGGAAUGAACAGGAAUCAGGCAUUUGGAAUGAAUAACUCCUUAUCAAGUAACAUUUUUAAUGGAACAGAUGGAAGUGAAAAUGUGACAGGACUGGACCUUUCAGAUUUUCCAGCAUUAGCAGACAGAAAUAGAAGAGAAGGAAGUGGCAACCCAACUCCAUUAAUAAACCCAUUAGCUGGAAGGGCUCCCUAUGUCGGAAUGGUAACAAAACCAGCAAGUGAGCAAUCCCAGGACUUCUCAAUACACAAUGAAGAUUUUCCAGCAUUACCAGGCUCCAGUUACAAAGAUCCAACAUCAAGUAAUGAUGACAGUAAAUCUAAUUUGAGUACAUCAGGCAAAACAUCUUCUAGUGCAGACGGACCCAAAUUCCCUGGAGAUAAAAGUUCAACAACGCAAAACAACAACCAGCAGAAAAAAGGGAUCCAGGUGCUACCUGAUGGUCGGGUUACUAACAUUCCGCAAGGGAUGGUGACGGACCAGUUUGGAAUGAUUGGCUUGUUAACAUUCAUCAGGGCAGCAGAGACGGACCCGGGAAUGGUACAUCUUGCAUUAGGAAGUGACUUAACAACACUAGGUCUCAAUCUCAACUCUCCUGAAAAUCUCUACCCCAAAUUUGCAUCACCUUGGGCAUCUUCGCCUUGUCGACCUCAAGACAUAGACUUCCAUGUUCCAUCUGAAUACUUAACGAACAUUCACAUUAGGGAUAAGCUGGCUGCAAUAAAACUUGGCCGAUAUGGAGAAGAUCUACUGUUUUAUCUCUAUUACAUGAAUGGAGGAGAUGUAUUACAGCUAUUAGCAGCAGUAGAGCUAUUUAACCGUGAUUGGAGAUACCACAAAGAAGAACGAGUAUGGAUCACCAGGGCACCAGGCAUGGAGCCAACAAUGAAAACCAAUACAUAUGAGAGGGGAACAUAUUACUUCUUUGACUGUCUUAACUGGAGGAAAGUAGCUAAGAAUUUGACUAUCAACUGUCCAAUUCCAGAGGAAGCAGCGAAGAUUCUCACUUGCAAUACUCUGGCAUUAUAUUUACUUGAACACCAAGGGAGGAACUGACUUCCAUUGUUGUUAUGAGAUGAUGAGUGCUUUUAUGGUAUGAUGCAUUCAGAACAAGGUGAUGUCUUCAGCGCUAUCUCUGGCAUGAGUUUAACACCAAAAAAAUAAAAAAAGCCACCCAAGAACCUUACACUAAAUGCAGUGCAAUUUAUUGGAUCAAUGGUCCCUCAAGAAUUCACUGAGAAGUUUUGCAUUUUUAUUUUAUUUUGUCAUGAUAGGGUCAUCUGGAUAUAGCAUGGGUUUACAAUGUCCAAAUUUAAAUAUCUGAUCUGCUACAGAAUAGCUUUUUAUUUGAAGUUCCACAUUUCUUAUUCAUCGAGGAAAAGGGAAUAUAUAUGCCUUUCUCCCAUUUCCUCUGUUGUUUCAAAGUUGAUAGGUCAGGCCCACAGUGAUCUUGAUAUCUUCAGCUCAGCAGACGUGGAUCUUGAAUAUUAGCCCUUUUCAAGAAUCUUCCCUAUAACCUAUUAUCAGAUUCUUUAUCUCAAGAAAGAGGGCAAGUAUUUCAUCCAACUUGAGAUUUCCUUAACCUGAAAGCCUAAUUGCAGGAUUGUUUGUUGGUGAGUCAUUGCACUUCUCUGUGUAAAUCACAUCUUUGCUGUUUGGAAUCAUGAAAAUAUUCUUCUAAGCAGCUAUAUGUCUGUAGGUGAAAGUAUUUUCAGGUUUAACCAGAGUCUAAAGGGGGUAGUUCCAUUUUCUCCCCUGUAGCAGUUACCUUGAAUUUUCUGUUACCACAGUGGACUCAGGUUUGUCUUCAUCUACAGAUAGUAUAUAUAAUAGGUUGUCUCUGACUACCAUAUUAAUGUGCAAGAGUAUUCAGUAUUUUCAAAUCCCUCAAUAAAAUGGCUUCUUACUAGUCUGGUGAAUGUGAGAACAUCUAGUUCUCACAAAGUUUAUGGAAUUCUUUUUUUUUUUUUUGACGUCUUGAUAUGUUAUCUUUUGCAUCUGUAGUUAGGUUUUGUUUUGAUUUUUUGUUGUUUUUUGACUGACUCACACAGAUGAACAUUUCCACACUUCAGGUUUUAAUGGCAAAGCUGCCUUAUACAAUUUUUCAUACGGGCAAAAUAAUUGUAAGGCCUCAAACAAAAUUGGCCUAGAUGAACUUGGAUUUUUAACUGAAUUAGUUGAUUUCUUUAUCAAUUUUUUUUCUUAGUCUUAGGUAUGCUGUCAGUAAUGCUAUCCUAUAUGCCUGAGACGUUCAGAGAGGUAUUACCUAUUACCUUAAUAGUGGGGGAAAGGCCCUAUUGGAAAUCUACAAGAUUGUUUCUCGCUUUUGACGAAAGUGAAGGCCAAAACCUUUCAGUUAUAAAUGGAUCAUAUUAUGUAUUCAGACAUCCUAUGAGCUUAUUUGAAUUGCUGUACCAGAAAGAAUAAGUGCCCACUCUGCCACAGAGGUAGCAGCCUGCAUAGCUGCUAUUCACUAUAUGCCUGUAGUAGAAAUUGUAAAGUUGCUUCUUGGAGCUUGAUUAUUCCUACUUUUAGAAAGCAGUAUUCUCUUUGCAGAAUGUAGAUUGGAUGCUGUAUUCAGGAGAGCAGAACUUCAUUCUUUUUGACUAGUGUACUCCUCGUCCUUCUUCCAGGGGAUAGGUAGGCUACAGCAGUGUCAAUGAAGAAAGAUUACUUUUACCAGUAGCUGUUGCUCUCCCAAAUAUAUUGUCUCUGCAGAUCCAUACAGCUUCUCCUACCUCCUUCAACUUCACAAAUUGACAAUAAUUGUCCACUAUUAGGGAGGAACUGAGGUCUAGUUAGGGAAAGAGGUAGAGCUUUUAUACCUUUUCUAGAAUUCUGGAUCCAAGGAACAUGCAAGCGAUAGUUUUAACUUAUUGAUUUCUUGUUAGUUUGGAGCAAAAUAUACCAGGCAAGCUGAAUAUUGGUGGAAGGGGAGCUAUGGAGGACUAUGGGGAAAAUUUGCUUUUUUGAGCAAUGGAAAAAUAACGAUUAGGCUAGCUCUUACUAUCUAUGUGUAAAACUCAUCUAAGACAAGUGGGAAUUUCAGGCACAGAUGGAGGGCAAGUAUAUGUCUGUGUAGUAAAGUCUGUGUAGUAAAAAUGCGAUCUCUAAUAUUAACCUUUGGAGUCAGAAUUUCCUAAGAGUUUUAGGAUAAUAAGGACAUGAUUAAAUUUAAAUGUUGUUUUUAAUAUGAAGGGUUAGUUGUCCAAGUGACUAUACUUCUAAAUCCCAUUAGAAAAAUUAAAUUCCAGGGCAGUACAAAUAUCAAAUACCGUGGAGAACGUAUUCUGAUCAAUUGCAACCACAUGAAGUCAUUUUUAAAAGAUAUUUUCCUUGUACUUUGUUUUACUGUAACAGAUACAUUAUUACCUAAUAUUGAGAAUAUCAGUUUGCCAGAAGAGCAUAUUAAUAACUGCUACUUAAUUGAUCCAUGGAUGUGGCUUUACUGCAGUCAGGUUAGAAUUAUCUGCAAUAAAUUACCAUCAUUUACAUCUGUACUUCAAAUAAAUUAUUUUUUCUAGGUGCUUUAUAAUCUUUCCUCUUGUUUUAAUGUAUAUGUGCAUUCUUUGGAUAAUAUUACUAAAAGCGCCAGACUGUGUUUUUUUUUUUUUUUUUUAAAUAUAGGCUAUACUUGCAAUUUAAUAAAACUCUGUGACAACAUCCUAGACUGGUUUUAACAAUCUAAUAAAAAGGAUUAUACAUAAUCCUACUCAGUGAAAUAGCAAAUAACAUUAAUUUAAUAAAGAAUUAGUGUUACUGUACAUUCACCUUCCGUAACAGACUGAAAAAGGAAAUGAGUGAAAAUUGAAUAAGCAUUGAGACAGCUUCCUAGAUUGUUUUGAAAUUCAAAUUAAAUGAAUUCUCCAUAGACAUUUAGUUAAAUAGCCCAAGAACUUGAAUAAUGAAGAAGUUUACUUCAUAUUCACCAUAAACAGAAAUAUUAAGGAAAUGUUGAUCACAACUAUGAUAUGCUUAUGGCUUUUCAUCCUAUUCCAUGUAGAAAGUACAAUAUGGUUAGAGAAACUUUGAUUUUAUACUGAGCAGGUAAAGCAAGAGAAUACUCACUGUAUAGCUUCCUCUGCUGAAGCUGCUGGGGUGAUGCUGAAAGGCUCAGCAACAAGAGACAGGAAAGUGAAGACAAUGAGACCCAGCAAUGCCGCCAAUGAUUACACAUUACUAAAAGAAAAUUCUCUUAACUAAAAUUUUAUAAUUUCUCUAUUCAAAAAUGAGGAAAGGUGAUCCCUGUUAAGAAACAAAAUUAAAACCCUUGUUUUAUUUUUCCUUCCUAGAAGCUUGAAUUCUUUAUGGUAGCGAAAUGUAGACAUCAGAAAACGUUAUUUUUUUUUUUUUUUUAGCAAGGGAUGCUGCCUAUACCAAAUAUCCUUUCAAAUAUUUACGGUCAAUAUUUAAAUAUUUUUUUUAAUUAUUAAUAGAACAACAUUUAACUUAAUGACAAAGACAUGCUAUAGAGUAGUUGGUUCUAGUUCCUAAUUUCUGUUUGGGUCUUUUGUGUCCAUUUUGUAGCAAGUAUUGUUUCUAGGCAAAUUGAAAACUGUGUCUAGUAAUGGAGCUUCCAGUGUUCCCUUGGUAGACUGAUUCACAGUCCAAUAGACUUCAUCAUUUUCCCUACAUUUAGCCUGUUUAGCAUACAUUUGCCGUUGCUCUCUUUUAUUCCAUUAAUCCUCUUUAAACAGUUCUCUUCCAUAUUUGGUGUUCACACCUACUAAAUAUUUUGUAUAAAUACAUUGAUUGCUGUGACAUAACUCACUCUUUGUGACUGUAAUCAGAAUGACACAUGAAAAAUAAGAUUCACUUCACAGAAAAUUUCUUUAGCGUUGGAUAUGCUUUGUGGGAUUUUCCCCCCUAAGUAUGGAAUCCCUAUUCUUGGUUAAUUCAAGGUAUUUAAAAAAAUCAUUGUUUCCAAAUGAAAAAUAAAAGCAAUUAAUUUAACCAAUGUUUGCUUAAUAGACAAGCUGGAAUUUUUCCAUUUCUUUGUAUCUAAUAAAUACAAAAAUGAUCAAUGCAAUUGUUCAUAUCCAAAUCUAUGAUGGCCACUACUAACUAAAGUGAAACGUAAAAUAACAUGUAUGAAAGUAUUUUUCUAUGUGCAAUAAAUACACUACUUUUUGGUUUUCAAAAAUAUUUGGUCAGUGAAUUAUUUCCCCCUAUAUUGUUAAAUAUAAUAACUGUUAAGUGUAAUUACACACUCUGAAUGUGGGAUCUUUUAAUACUUCAGCAUACCUGAAGCAGCAAUAAAAUGACUGACAAACACUGUUUUAAUGCUUACAAAAUUUGCAUCCUAUAGGUGUUAAUAUUUCCUAAAAAAAUCUGUCACAGUAACAAAUCUCAAUCCAUAUGGCUCUAAAGGAACCCUCAUGAGCCAGUAAGAUUCCUUCCUUUAGACUCCAGGCAUUAAUUCAAGUGGCCGCUCUCUACAUGUAGUCUUGAAUGCACUCCAGAAUAUGUGAGGGUUUAGCAUUCACCUGUUUCCUUGCUUAAUAAGUUUUGUUAAAAUAGCAAUUCCCCAAUUGUAGUCCAUAUACUGGUAAUGAUCUGCAGAGCCUUUUCUGGUCAUCUGCAGAACAUAACACUCUGAGAAUCAUGAACUGGAAGGUUGGAGAGAAGGUAAUUUGAGGGGCAUUUUUCUUAUUUCAAAGUGAGACAGGAGAAUUUCAGAGUUAAAGACUCUAUCUUAAAUUAUACCCCCAAGAACCAUGUGUGGAAGUGUUUUCCCCACACUGGUAUCCCUUGUUUCUCUUCCCCCGCACCCCAAAAAGAAAAAGAGAGCUCAUUACCCCCGCCCUAUCCAUGGAUGUCCAUGGGAGGGUGGGGUGGAAUUUACCCACCAACACUAAUACACUGGCACGCUAUAUUAAAUAUUUUCCACCUCAGGUCCCCAGGAGCUGCCACAGCCAGGAAGCUGGGGUGGAGGAUGGGAUGAAUGUGCGGGCCAGAGCCACAGUAGGGAGACAAAGCUUUCAUGCACAUGGCCAUGGUCUUGUAGAUGCUGCUGGGAUUCUCGAGGAGUUCCAUCUGGAAUAUGACAAAUUAGAAGAAAGGCCUCAUCUGCCAUCAACCUUCAACUACAACCCUGCUCAGCAAGCCUUCUAAAGACUUCCCUUUUCUUGGGGUAUGGCUGUCUCAGCACAAUACUCAACAUAACUGCAGAACUGAUGUGGCUCAGGCAUCCUGGUUUUAAUUCCUU